rnacentral:rRNA from 1 species
UGGGGAAUUUUCCGCAAUGGGCGAAAGCCUGACGGAGCAACGCCGCGUGAGGGACGAAGGCCUCUGGGCUGUAAACCUCUUUUCUCAAGGAAGAAGAUAUGACGGUACUUGAGGAAUAAGCCACGGCUAAUUCCGUGCCAGCAGCCGCGGUAAUACGGGAGUGGCAAGCGUUAUCCGGAAUUAUUGGGCGUAAAGCGUCCGCAGGCGGCUUUUCAAGUCUGCUGUUAAAGCGUGGAGCUUAACUCCAUCAUGGCAGUGGAAACUGAAAGGCUUGAGUAUGGUAGGGGCAGAGGGAAUUCCCGGUGUAGCGGUGAAAUGCGUAGAUAUCGGGAAGAACACCAGUGGCGAAGGCGCUCUGCUGGGCCAUUACUGACGCUCAUGGACGAAAGCCAGGGGAGCGAAAGGGAUUAGAUACCCCUGUAGUCCUGGCCGUAAACGAUGAACACUAGGUGUCGGGGGAAUCGACCCCUUCGGUGUCGUAGCUAACGCGUUAAGUGUUCCGCCUGGGGAGUACGCACGCAAGUGUG